rnacentral:rRNA from 1 species
GGCAGAGGGUGCAAACGUUGUUCGGAAUUAUUGGGCGUAAAGCGCGCGCAGGCGGUUUCUUAAGUCUGAUGUGAAAGCCCACGGCUCAACCGUGGAGGGUCAUUGGAAACUGGGGAACUUGAGUGCAGAAGAGAAAAGCGGAAUUCCACGUGUAGCGGUGAAAUGCGUAGAGAUGUGGAGGAACACCAGUGGCGAAGGCGGCUUUUUGGUCUGUAACUGACGCUGAGGCGCGAAAGCGUGGGGAGCAAACAGG